GGGCUCAUAGCUCAGCUGGUAGAGCUCCCGGCUCAUAACCGGAUGGUCCCAGGUUCGAACCCUGGUGAGCCCACCA
rnacentral:tRNA from 1 species